rnacentral:rRNA from 1 species
ACACGACUACAUUAGAUACCCGGGUAGUCCCAGCCCUAAACGAUGCGCGUUAGGUGUAUCGGUGACCACGAGUCACCGAGGUGCCGAAGGGAAACCGUGAAACGUGCCGCCUGGGAAGUACGGUCGCAAGGCUGAAACUUAGAGGAAUUGGCGGGGGAGCACAACAACGGGUGGAGCUUGCGGUUUAAUUGGAUUCAACGCCGGAAAUCUUACCGGGACCGACAGCAACAUGAAGGCCAAGCUGAAGACUUUGCCGGAUUAGCUG